rnacentral:rRNA from 1 species
GACGAAGGUGGCGAGCGUUGUUCGGAAUCACUGGGCAUAAAGGGUGCGCAGGUGGUCGUGUGUGUCAGAUGUGAAAUCCCGGGGCUUAACUCCGGAACUGCGUCUGAAACUGCACGACUAGAGCAUUGGAGAGGGUAGUGGAAUUCACGGUGUAGCAGUGAAAUGCGUAGAUAUCGUGAGGAACACCAGAGGCGAAGGCGACUACCUGGACAAUUGCUGACACUCAGGCACGAAAGCAUGGGGAGCAAAAGGG